rnacentral:tRNA from 1 species
AUUGGGGUGGCAGAGCAUGGUAAAAUUGCGAAAGGCCUAAGCCCUUUUACCCAGAGGUUCAAAUCCUCUCCCCAAUU